CGUGUAGGCGGCCUCUUAAGUCUGAUGUGAAAGCCCGGGGCUUACCCCCGGAAGGGCAUUGGAAACUGGGAGGCUAGAGUACCGGAGAGGAAGGUGGAAUUCCUGGUGUAGCGGUGAAAUGCGUAGAUAUCAGGAGGAACACCGGUGGCGAAGGCGGCCUUCUGGACGGAUACUGACGCUGAGACGCGAAAGCGUGGGGAGCAAACAGGAUUAGAUACCCUGGUAGUCCACGCCGUAAACGAUGGGCACUAGGUGUUCGGGGUAUUGACCCCCUGAGUGCCGCAGCUAACGCAUUAAGUGCCCGCCUGGGGACUACGGCCGCAAGGUUAAA
rnacentral:rRNA from 1 species